rnacentral:tRNA from 1 species
GCCGGUGUGGCUUAGCUGGUUAUAGCGCCAGACUCAUAAUCUGGAGGUUCGUGGGUUCAUAUCCCACCACCGGCA